AACACAGACUGAUAAUUAAAUGAAUUGAAUCUAUAAUGUGUGAUGAAGGGUAUUUAAAAUGUAGAGCCUUAUACGUCCAAGCAGGAUGUGGUUUUACUGUUACCUGUCUGAGUGUUCCAUCAGUGAGGCAGAUCUUGCCGACAGCCCAGAUAGGUAUUGCAAUCACAGAGGAGAGGGCCAUGGCCCAGCCUAUAGCGUAGGCCCAGCCUGGGUACUCAUGGCCCUCACUGGAUGUUAGAGGCUGAUAUUCCAGGAAGGAGCAGAUGAAGCAAACCUUGAAGAAAAGGAAGAGGAAUUAAUUAAUAGCUGACUUUGCUAGUGGUUAUCUACGGCCAAGUGUGUCCAGUCCCAACAGAAUGAGCAUAAUGAAGAAGCAAGCUGCCCACAGCUGAGGCAGGGGCAUCAUGGCAACAGCCUGGGGAUAAGCAAUAAAUGCCAACCCAGGACCUGAAGGGACACAAAUAAAUAUUUUCUGUCUGUCCUCUUA